CAUGUCUUAAUUCCAGUUUCACUGUUAAAACCAGUAUGGGUUACAAAUGUUUUAUGUUAAUAUGUUUUUAACGGUGAUCUCCAGGUAUCCAUACAAAGCUCCUUACUAAAAAAGAAAGGAACAUAUGAUCAGGAUUACGGAUGACACUGUUCACAUUUUGUUUGUCGGACUAUAUAUGUCUUAAGGACAAUUAACCAUCU